ACAGCAGUAGCCGCGGGAAUACGUAGGGUGCAAGCGUUAAUCGGAAUUACUGGGCGUAAAGCGUGCGCAGGCGGUUAUAUAAGACAGAUGUGAAAUCCCCGGGCUUAACCUGGGAACUGCAUUUGUGACUGUAUAGCUAGAGUACGGCAGAGGGGGAUGGAAUUCCGCGUGUAGCAGUGAAAUGCGUAGAUAUGCGGAGGAACACCGAUGGCGAAGGCAAUCCCCUGGGCCUGUACUGACGCUCAUGCACGAAAGCGUGGGGAGCAAACAGGAUUAGAUACCCCGGUAGUCCCUGUCUCUUAUAC
rnacentral:rRNA from 1 species